CGUAGUGGACGUAUGGAGGCACUUUAUGUGAACAGUCAACGCGACGUCGUUGUUGUCUCAGUUUUUCCACCCGCGUGCGACUUCAG
rnacentral:lncRNA from 1 species